rnacentral:rRNA from 1 species
AUGGCGGCUGGCGUCAAGUUCGAUCCCAUAGAUCAGGAGCUGAUCGAGCACCUUCAGGCCAAAGUGAGUGCUGACAGCGUGAGAUCUCACCCUCUCAUCGAUUUGUUCAUACCAACCAUCGACAGCGAGCACGGCAUAUGCUACACCCAUCCCGAGAAACUUCCAGGUAUCACAUUGAGUGGCCUAAGCAAGCAUUUCUUCCAGCGCAAUUCCAGGGCGUUCAAAAGGGGCACAUGGACGUGUCGCAAGAUACAGUCAGAGUGCGGCAUGCAUGCAAUGUGGCACAAGACCGGCAAUACCUUGCCGGUGAUGGUCAACGGCCGGCAGACGGGCAGCAAAAAGGUUAUGGUGCUGCACAGCAACAAGAACUUCGACCAGCAGAGGACCAACUGGGUGAUGCACCAGUACCACCUCGGGGACCUGGAUCAAGAGAAGGAGCGGGAGCUAGUCCUCUGCAAGAUUUUCUACCAAACAAACACUAGGGCCAGGACUAAAAAGAAUAUAAGUCGAGCAAGUUUCAACUGGGCUGUAGACUGCCUAGGCUUGGUUUUGUUCUUAAUAGGCCCAGCCCAUGAAGACAACGGGGCAUAA